rnacentral:rRNA from 1 species
AGCUGAUCGGGUGGGAUAAGAAUGCUAGUCGUGCGCCUUCUAGCCCGAUGGAGGCGCGGCAUACAGCUCAGUAGCACGUGGCUAACCUGCCCUUGGGACGGAAACAACCCCGGGAAACUGGGGCCAAUUUCCGAUAGGUGAAGAUACCUGGAAUGGUUUUUUGCCCAAAAGACGUUUGGGUCAUGCUUCUAGACGUUGCCCAAGGAUGGGGCCGCGGCCGAUCAGGCUGUUGGUGAGGUAAUGGCUCACCAAACCUUUGACCGGUUCGGGCCGUGGGAGCGGUAGCCCGGAGAUGGGCACUGAGACAAGGGCCCAGGCCCUACGGGGCGCAGCAGUCGCGAAAACUUCGCAAUAAGCGAAAGCUUGACGGGGCCAUCCCGAGUGCCAUCUGCUGAGGAUGGCUUUUACCCAGUAUAGAUAGCUGGGGGAAUAAGGAGAGGGCAAGUCUGGUGUCAGCCGCCGCGGUAAUACCAGCUCUCCGAGUUGUGGGGACGUUUAUUGAGCCUGAAGCAUCCGUAGCCGGCUGGGCUAGUCCCCUGUUAAAUCCAGCGAUAAAUCGUUGGCCUGCGGGGGAUACUGCUCGGCUAGGGGGCGGGAGAGGCCGUCGGUAUUCUUGGGGUAGGGGUGAAAUCCUAUAAUCCCAGGAGGACCACCAGUGGCGAAGGCUGUCGGCUAGAACGCGCUCGACGGUGAGGGAUGAAAGCUGGGGGAGCGAACCGGAUUAGAUACCCGGGUAGUCCCAGCUGUAAACGAUGCAGGCUAGGUGUUAGGGCGGCUACGUGCCGCUCUAGUGCCGCAGGGAAGCUGUUAAGCCUGCCGCUUGGGGAGUACGGCCGCAAGGCUGAACUUAAAG